rnacentral:lncRNA from 1 species
CUCUAUUGAGCACCUACGUACUUGUCUUGAUGUCACACACACCAAUGACUCGAGACUAGUCACUCUCCCUGAGAAAAGACACAACACGUACUGAUCUUAACGGACUAUCAAUGCCCAAUUGGCAAUCCUAUGAUCAGGAACGUUUAGGAUGUGUCUACGAAAGAAUGGUCUCAUGAAUCUAACUUCUUUAGAUCGUAUUCUCCGAAUCACAUAUUCCUUGGACUUAUCGUUUAAGCAUAUAACAUUUAUAUGAGACGGCUUAAAACAAUAAUCUAUGCCCUUGAUAUUAAACUAGAUUAGUUUAACAUGUGAAAUGUCCGUAAAGUAUCAUCAUAUGAUUGGUUUUAGGGCACAUUUCCAACAUUUUCUGCUUUCUAGGUUUGGGCUGAGCUUCGGGCUUUUCCUUCUCUUUUUGGGCCAACUCCCUUCUAAGCCCAAAGUUUAAGUUUCCACCCAAACACAUUGUAAUCCUAAAUUGAAUAGGUUCUCCACCUCUUCUGAAUAGCUUGGGUAACCAUGACAUGCUGCUAGGUGUCACUCAUGGUUUGUGGAGCCCUAAACGUGUAUAAUCACUAAAGGGAGAAUUGAAAGUAAGUUUAUAUUCACAAUCGAUUUGAAAGAGUUCUAAUCGCCCACUGCCUCGCUAAAAGGAACCUAAUAGAUCAUGCACCGUGUAAGGUAGAGAUUGGCGAAACAACGGAGAUGAGUAAGGACAAUUAAAUGGUUUAAUUGUUUAUGGCAAGAAUUAAUUAAUAUGUUAAUUAAUCAAACGAAUAAGUUCGUUUUAAACCUUGAGUUAGUUUUGGGCCUUAAAGCCCAAAUUGGGGUUCGAAUCGUCAAGCCCAUUAGCUUAAGUUGUAUGACAACUUAACAAACAAAAUUCAAGAAGCCCAAAAUAGCCCAAAGGCUUGGGAAAACCGGCCAUAUAGAGAGGGGUAGUGAACUUGGCUUAAUUGCAAGUUUGCCACUCCAUUGUGAGGUGGUAUAAAGGCAACUUCAUAGCCAUUUCAUCCUUAGGGUUUCUUUUGAAGAAAAUUGGAGAGAACAUGUCUCUCCCUUUCUCUCUAGGAGGCCGGCCCCUUGGAGGAGAUUAGCUAGCAAUCUUUCCUCCUCCAAGGUCACUUAUCUCUUCUUCAUGUCCCUCCUUGGUGUGGAAAAUUAGAGGUUCUCAACUUUGGGAACUUGGAGAAUCCUUUCAACCAUCCUCAUCCAAGAAAUCCAUGGAUCUAAGAAGCAAGGAAUGAAGGCCCUCUCCUUGGGUGAUUAGCCUUUGCUUAUGCAAAGAGGAAUCAACAAAGGUAUAAGAUUUCUCAACUCACUUUGUUCUUGAGUUGAGUCUUGGUUCACGUUUCUACUAGGCUUUGAAUUUCAUGGGUAAUGUUGUGUUUUGAGUGCAUACAAGCAUGAUUCCGCCUUUAAUUGUUAAUUGCAUGCCAUUGAUGUUGCUCAAAUGAACAUGUUUUUCACAAAAUUUCCUUCAAGUGGUAUCAAGAGCCUAGGUCUAGUAGUUGGUGAAUCCUUUUGGGUUUUGUAGUUCAUAGUCUUUGAUUUGAAUGUUGUAAUUGUUACAAGCUUUAUUCAUGCUUCUUUGAAUGUAAAUUUUGUUAGAAAAUUUGCCAUCUCAAAUGUUGAAGACGUAGUUCAUAUGAGCAUGAAUUUUGGAGCUAAAAUUUGGUGCCUUGUUUUUGGGGAAAUUCGGCCAAAUCCAAAGGGUGGAUUUUUGGGUUCUUGUUUGUCUUGUUAAAAGUGUUUUAAAGUGACAUUAGGAACCCCUAAGUACCCUAGUAUGGUAAUAUGUUUUUUCCCUUAAGUUUGAGAGUUUUUGGGGUGUCUUUGGGUUAAAAAUGUUCAUGGAGCUCUUAUGGGUUUUCAUGGAUGUUCUUCAUUGUUCUUGUUAUGUUCUAACCAAGAACAAAAAGGUUUGGUGUUUGAUCAAAUGUUGUAAAAGAGCAUAAGCUCUUCUUUACUUUGAAGUACUCCUUUCUUGUUUUAUUUGAUAUGCAUGAAAUUGGUGUAGUUGGGUCCAACGCCCAAUAGGAAAAACACGCCUUAAUAUGAUUAAACGCGUAACUAAAAUCAAUCACCAUCCCUAGACCGAGAUCCAACACUAGGCUCGUGUUGGAUCUAAUCAAAGGUUCAUAGUCAUCCUAAGGCCCUAAGGCAACUAUAUAGUCCAUCAAUGAAUGCAAACCUUAUGUUAGUAGUACCUUAUACUCUUGCUUUAAAAACUGUUUUACAAGCAUAGUGGGAGUAUUAUAUACAACUAAAUCAAUCACAUGGACCAAUAGUUGUAAUAGGACCAAAUUGUUUUAAUAAGAUUAAAAUGCAUGCUUAUAUGUGAUGAGACCUAAAACCCUCAACCAAACCAUUAUUAAGUUGAUAAGCGUGAGAGUGCUUUGAACACUCUUUCGUGGCCUUCCACCGUGGUAGGCUGUGAUAGUUUGUGACUCGUACACUGACUUCACCCUAUCAUGGGGGAGUACAAAGUGCAUGCUUACACUCAGGAGGAGUUCUAUAUGGAUACAUGAUGUCGUGAAGGUAGGCAACGAGAAUGAUCAACAUCAUAUCAUUGUAAGGUUGUUGUUGAACCCCUACUCGAACUUGCAUGGUGGGAAUGACUUAACUAAGUGCAAUGGAGCCAACAUCAUAUCAUUGUGAGGCUUCAUUCUCUAGAGGCCAAAUAAGAUGGGUACUUGCAAGAGAUGAAAAUGAGUAAGCGUACUCUCUCAUUAUUAUUGAUGCUAACCAACAUCAUAUCAUUGUGAGGUGGGCUUGGUAAUGAUGAGUCUCCUAUACCCUACUACGAGUUUCCUCCAAAACUCUCGAAUUCCGAUGAGGGAUAUGGAAUUUGCCAAAAAUAGUGGGUGGUGCUAUUUGAUUUAAAGACCCGGAUCAAAUGGCUUAAAAUCAAUCAAUUUAUAUUUGUUAUGUAUUUGUUUACCGAUAUAUUUGUAAACGCUAUCCAAAACUUGAUAAAGAAAAGCCGAAUGCUUUAGUUUCUGGACUUGGUACCACAAUCCCAUAUAUUGUCGUAAAUGGAUUGUAUAUGUACCUAAGUAGUCUCAUCCUCACAAUCUUCGUAUUGGUAAUGUAUCAUUGGAAGAACAUGUUAGAUAAGUCUAUCAUAAAGAGGACAACACAAACAACCAAUGCUUAUUCCUUCGUUAUAUGAACAAAGGAACUUAUGAAGAUUAGCAUAAAGACAAGGACACUUUUAGUGUCAUAGUUCUUCACUUACAAAUCGUUGUAUGAAGAAAUAAGAGUUGCUUUGAACAACCCUUAGUUAAUGCAAACACUAGUGCUUGUUCCUUUGUUAAAUGAACAAAGAACUUGAGAAGUAAGCACAAGGGCAUGGACACUUUAUGUGCCAUGAUUCUUCACUUACAAAUUGUUGUAUGAAGAAAUGAGAGUUUCCUUGAACAACUCUUGAAAGUUUGUAAUUGUGUUUAGAACAUAAUGGUUGGUUGACAAAAAUAGUCCAUCAACAAGGACUUAUGAUGAUUUUGAAUCAUUGAGUGUUGAAGUGUUAAACCACUUCACGAGACGGAAACUAGGCUAGGACCUCACCUUUGAGUCCCUAUCCAAAUGGUUCACUAAGUUUAUUGUAAAUUAUAUAGUGAACAAUAACCGCACUCUCUCCAAAUCGUUUGAUGUGUAUAACACAAUUAAAAUAAGUUUCAAGAGAGAUAGUGGGAGUUUAGGGACCAUGACUAUUGUAGUCAAAGGAGAAGUCAAAUGAAGAAGGCGAAAUAACUCCAAGGGAACAAAUUUUCUUUAUGAAAGGAUGGACAUUGGAAGGGGUAUUUGCAAGAAAUGUCUUGCAAGUGUCAAGAACACACAUUUCGAAGGUGUUGUAAAUUGUUCUUGAAUAGUUCAAAACAGUUGGUUCUUCUACUUGAAUGCUUGAUUCCGUAUUAGUAACUAUGUUUUACAAUCGUUGUAAAAGUGUGGCUAAUAAGAAGUAGAAGAUUAAUGAGAAAAGAGAAAGUACUUCACAUUCGGAAUGUGAAUCAAAUGUAGAUCUCUGCGAAAGCAGGUAGUACUUACUUCCUCAUAUGAACUACCAAAGAAAAUGGAAAAACAAAGAUUGUCUUUACAUUCCAAUUUGAAUAAAGGAACAUAAUUCCGUAUGAGAAAUGGAUGAAUGUUUUGUUUGACAAAACAUUGUUCUUUAUUAAUGAAUGAUUAGAUUAUUGUAAUCUAAUUGAUUAUCUCUAUAGUAGAGAUGAUAUGGUAGUGUUAACUGUUUAGAAUAUAACGAUGCUUAAAACCUAAAAGGUUGCAAGGUAGUGACUAAUCCCAACUGAGUUGUGAUACCUCUAAAACAUAAAUUAUGAGUUGGUCAUAGAUGGAUGCUUUGGAUCGUUAGAUCCGGAUCCAAUGCCUUCUUGUUAAAAUUGUAUAGAGGCAAAAUGUUUGAAUCUUUAUUCUUUUAGGAAGAAAGAAUCACUAAGUUGUUGAGGUUAAUUCACUUAGAUGUUAGUGGCACUUGUCCACAACAUAAUACUACUCAUGUUGUAUUGCAUUCACCGAAGAUCGCUCUCGGUUGGACUAUCGUUAAUUUUGAAUAAACACAAGUCCGAAUACUUUGCAAAAGGUUUCAAAGAAUUCAAGAAUGUAAGUUGAUGAGUAAGACGUCUAAAGUAUUUACCUCCUUAGAUUUGAUCCAAGGAAAGGUAACACUUUAGAACAGUUUCCUUGAAAGAUAUCAAGGAAAGAAGCAUCAUAAGAUAAUGGAUUUCUCCAUUAGGAGAAGAACAAACUUGAAUAAGAUUUAGUUUGUUGGAUGUUAUCAAUUACCCAUAUAUAGGAUAUAUACUUCUAAGACAAUAUGAUUGUCAAUUAGAAGAUCUUCCAAAAUUUUCGUGACUCCAUAGGAUGUAGUUGGAAAGAAAGACAAAUCUUAAUCAUGUUAAGAUUUGGGGUUGUGUGCUAAUAAGCAAUAUUUGUUUAAAGAAUUAUCUUGUGGGUAUCCUUAAAUUAACCUUUGGAUAUCACUUCUAUAAACCAACUAACAAAUGUUGUUUUGUUGGGUAGUUCAUUGUAAUCCUACAAAUGAUUUUCCUAUGCGCAAAUGAACGAGAGAUAGAACUCAAAGAAUGGGUUGUUUGAGAGACAAGAUGAUAAUCAACAAAUAUAACAACCUAGUUCCUACACCACAGGCUCUAAGGUAGUCGAGAAGGAUUUAUAAACUGUUUCAGUUGAAUGGUUUGAACUUUAUGACUAUGUCAUAGAGUUACACCUCUUAAUUCGAAAGAAAUAAGAAUGAAAAUCCUUAUGACUACAUUGAGUGUAUAUACGACAUAUACUCAAGGAAAUGGUAAAGUACCAUUUGACCCGAAAUAAUGAAACCUUUAUAGCUAAAUGAUAGCUUAAGGUGACUACAAUCAAAGAGAAUGGUUGACUUGGAAGAAACCAUCUUUGACAUAGUCUUGGUUUCAAUUAAUUCAAAGAAUGCUAGCUACAACUAAAUGGUGAUUCAAUGUUUGGACAUAAUAUGGGUUUCCGAAACAAUUAUUAAGAUAGUCUUGAUAAUAUAUGUCUAAAACUAUGAAUCACAAGACAUGUAAGUUGUAGAGAUCCAUCCAUCAUGAAUCUUAGCAAACUAGUGGGAGCUAUAAGCGUCUUAUGAGAGAAAGAUCAAAUCGUUUGAUUUCUCAUAAAGAUGUAAAUGAAUCUUUUGUUUACUAGGUUUACAAAAGAUUAGUGGGAGUUAAUCAUGUUCCUAAAUUUGAACAUAUAUAUAUAUAUAUAUACACAUAUAUGAUAUAUUAAUUUUGGAAAUGAAAAGAAUACUUCUUCGUUAAAGGUAUGACUUUAGAUAUUCUAUAACGAUAGAAUGUAUAUGGGAGACAUAGUCUAUAAACAUGGGAUGGAAAUCUAUAAUGAUAGAUUUCAGGAUAUAAUUGGAUUAUAUCAAGCCCUAAUGAUAGACAAAAGCUGCUAGGAAGUUUCUCAUAUGAUGAUAAACUUCAAUCAGAAGAACAACUCUAGUGAGACUAGGAGGUAGCUCUUCUCAAAGGGAAUGUACCCUUUGACUCCCAAAGAAAUAAUGCGUAAAUAGAAUCCUUUAUGCAUAUGUAGAAAGGUGAUUUAUGUAUUUCAUAUUGUAUGAAAAACGUUGAUAUGAGUUGUACCAAGAUCGGUACAAGACGAUAUCAAUGCAAGCCCAGGAUCAGAACCAUGGCAACUGUCAAGUGAAUCCUUAAGUAUUUGAGAAAUAAUAAAGGAUGGAUUCUUCAAGAAUAAGGAAGAAUUAGAGUAACGUAAUGGAAGCGUAAAUGUAUUAGAUUAUGAAUCUAAUCCAUCAUUGGAUGUUUCUUCAUUAUGAAUGAAGAGAUAAUUAGAUAUCUCUUUAUUAUAACUAAAGAGAUAUUUUAAUGGAAACAUUAAAAGUAAUGACUUUAGUGUGUUCCAUUAUGCAUGCGAAAUAUAUUGCCAUAAAGAAGCUUACAACAACGUUGUUUGGAUGAGAAAGUUCAUUUAUGAAUUCUCUAUUCGGUUCCAACCAGAAAGUGUCUCCAGUGUACCGACACUACGACACUAAUGGGGCGAUAGUUCAAGCCGGGGAAUCAAGGUCUCAUCAAGAUCUGAACUCAAAUGAGAGACUAAACCACAUGAUUAAGAAUCAUGUAUAAUGGUGACAUUGUUAUUCUCAAGGUUGCUUUUAUGGAUAGCAUAUAGAUAUCCAUUGUCUAGGCCUACUACUCAACCAUUUUUGAAAUGACUACAGAAGAGGUAUCAUCACUGAUGACCAAGCUGAUUGGCUCUAGUGCAAGUGGGAGAUUGUUGGAAAUGUGCCCUAAAACCAAUCAUAUGAUGAUACUUUACGGACAUUUCACAUGUUAAACUAAUCUAGUUUAAUAUCAAGGGCACAAAUUAUUGUUUUAAGCCGUCUCAUAUAAAUGUUAUAUGCUUAAACGAUAUGUCCAAGGAAUAUGUAAUUAGGAGAAUGUAAUUUAAACAAAUUAGAUUCAUGAGACCAUUCUCUUUCGUAUACAUAUCCUAAACGUUCCUCAUCAUAAACGUUCCUCAUCAUAGGAUUGCCAAUUGGGCAUUGACAGUCCGUUAAGAUCAGUACGUGCUGUGUCUUCUCUCAGAGAGAGUGACUAGUCUUGAGCAUUGGUGUGAUUGACACCAGAACAAGCAUGUAGGUGCUCAAUAGCGAAUGAGUCCACUGAACACGAUCAACGAGGAGUUCUCAUACUCAUGUCGCAUGAGAACUCAUGGUUGGGAUAAUGCAAAGUAGUCCUUUAACCUGAGGCAUGAUAGUUGUCUUGUGGUUAGGUCCUUGAUCUUUGACUAUGUCAAAGUCACUCCGUCAGAGGGUGUCCACGGCAUAGUUGGGGUUAAGCCACUUAGCCAUGGAGGCAAGUGAAUACGCAACAAGGGAUCUCUAACCUUCAAACUGUUUGAGGGAGAAUACUCUAUGAUAUGAUGAAGAAUCUCUGGCUAGAGUAUGAAUAAGAUUUAGGAUGUCGUUCCAAAUCACAUUCAAGGUAAUCAUAUAAGUAAGAGAAUCACAUUGGAUAGUAGACAUGAAUAAGCUAUUAAACCAAACAAUGUGGUCAAGAGUAUUGUAUUAGAGAAAGACCGUAUUGCAUUGUAAUCCUAAACUGAAUAGGUUUUCCACCUCUUCUGAUUAGCUUGGGUAACCAUGACAUGCUGCUAGGUGUCACUCAUGGUUUGUGGAGCCCUAAACGUGUAUAAUCACUAAAGGGAGAAUUGAAAGUAAGUUUCAAUUCACAAUCGAUUUGAAAGAGUUCUAAUCACCCACUGCCUCGCUAAAAGGAACCUAAUGAAUCAUACACCGUGUAAGGUAGAGAUUGAAAAAACAAUGGAGAUAAGUAAGGACAAUUAAAUGGUUUAAUUGUUUAUGGCAAGAAUUAAUUAAUAUGUUAAUUAAUCAAACGAAUAAGUUCCUUUUAAACCUUGAGUUAGUUUUGGGCCUUAAAGCCCAAAUUGGGGUUCGAAUCGUCAAGCCCAUUAGCUUAAGUUGUAUGACAACUUAACAAACAAAACUCAAGAAGCCCAAAACAGCCCAAAGGCUUGGGAAAACCGGCCAUAUAGAGAGGGGUAGUGAACUUGGCUUAAUUGCAAGUUUGCCACUCCAUUGUGAGGUGGUAUAAAGGCAACUUUAUAGCCAUUUCAUCCUUAGGGUUUCUUUUGGAGAAAAUUGGAGAGAACAUGUCUCUCCCUUUCUCUCUAGGAGGCCGGCCCCUUGGAGGAGAUUAGCUAGCAAUCUUUCCUCCUCCAAGGUCACUCAUCUCUUCUUCAUGUCCCUCCUUGGUGUGGAAAAUUAGAGGUUCUCAACUUUGGGAACUUGGAGAAUCCUUUCAACCAUCCUCAUCCAAGAAAUCCAUGGAUCUAAGAAGCAAGGAAUGAAGGCCCUCUCCUUGGGUGAUUAGCCUUUGCUUAUGCAAAGAGGAAUCAACAAAGGUAUAAGAUUUCUCAACUCACUUUGUUCUUGAGUUGAGUCUUGGUUCACGUUUCUACUAGGCUUUGAAUUUCAUGGGUAAUGUUGUGUUUUGAGUGCAUACAAGCAUGAUUCCGCCUUUAAUUGUUAAUUGCAUGCCAUUGAUGUUGCUCAAAUGAACAUGUUUUUCACAAAAUUUCGUUCAACCACCACCUUUGAAGACUCAUUUAGGAGCUUUAGAGGAAUAUUCAUGUCCCUAAAAGAAUAUUGUCUACAAAGAAAAUGUCCUUAUAGUAUAAUCCCUAAAUAUAGGGACUAAAAUAUUAAAAACCUAUUAUCCAUUUCAUUAAAAUGUUGUAACCAUUGAUAAAAAUAAAAAACUAUCUCUACCAUUGAUUUAUCAAGAAUUAAAAAUAAAAGGCAAAUGAGAAGUUGUGACACACCCCGAUCGGAGUCGAGACGUGUUGGCUGUCACUUGAGGGUGAUGUAGCCAAGUGCGCAACAGAAGUGAUAAUAAUAAGAAAAUGUGAAUAAAUAAAAACCAAAACUAAACUUAUUUAACUAGAGAUAGUAUGUAAGUGUGUGAAAGUGAUCAAGUAUAAGAUACACGCAUAUCAAAGCAUAGGUAAAACAAAGGUGCAGUCGAACUAACUAAGUACUAAUUAUCCAAACAGAGAAGACCCCUACUUUUAUUUAUGAAAACGUCAGAACUGCCGUGUAGUCCUCGUGAGCCACCAAAGAUGAACAACUACCUACAACCUAGAAAGGUGCAAAACAGAAAGGUGAAUAGGCAAAAAACAAAGCGUUUGAAAACGUAUUUAUCUUUAUGAACAUAAUCCCUCUCUGUAAAACCCGUAUAGUUUCUAGAAAAUACAACUACAUAGGUAUGAAAACCAAUGCACAAGAGUAGCGAAAACUGAAGUAUGCCAUGUCAUAAUAUCUCAGCAAUAAUAACUGUAAGCUAGGUGUGAAACUAAUAUAAAAUAGUAUGCCAGUUGGAGUCACCUAACGUGACUUAUACGAAUGGACCUGUAGCUCAUCAAUCUAGGCUAGCACAUGAGUCGGAGUCACCUAGUGUGACCUAUACAACAUGUUGGGUAUAAAUAUGUACGCUCAAGAGCUACGAUCACAUGAAGGCUGUGCGAUAAUUUACGGGUCACCCACGAGUCGGAACCACCUAUUGUGGUCUGUACGAUAAGCUGGCACCAGACUUAGAUCCAAGGUGAGUGUGUGGUGCAGGAGGUGAACAAUCACAUGAAGGUUGGCCUUAGCCCCGGGCGGGAGCACUAAUACCAUGGUGCAGCCAUUAUGAGCUUUAAAUAAAUGUGUGCAUACCAAUGCAAUACAACCCAUUCAAUCACAUAAUACUCACUUGAAGCUUACCUGAGUCUUCGUAGCAUCACACAAUACAAUUCAUAAGUAGUAGGAUCAUAGCCCCUUGCUUCGCUUUCCACCUUCGUCCUCAAGGUAUGUCUCACCUAUAUGCGAUACAACUAUUUUUACGUUAAUUAAUUAGCACAUAAAGCCUAGGAUUAAUUCCUCAUACAUUGCUCAAAUGGGGUGUUUGAAUAUACCAACGUGAUCUACUCGACAACACGAAGACCCCCAUAUUUUUAGAAAAAUUUUUGGAUGUCAGACACGCCAGCCACGCGCAAGCACAUGUCUGGCACACGGGAUGAAACCCUAACGGUGUUAGGAAUAUUCCGUUAAAAUAGCAGAAUAUUCUGUUAAAUUCUAACAGUGUUACCUGAUGCGAUUAGAAUAUUCGAUCAAUUUUGAUGGAAUAAUCUUCGUCUUCUUCAGUGGACCACGCCGGUCUCUGCCGUCCACCUUCGCCACCCAUAGUCUAAUUUGCCAGUUUUUGGAAAAUUUUCAAAGCUUAAUAUCUACUUCAUUUCUCAACCAAAAUCCAUGAAAUUUAUAUGGAUUUGAAGGUUUUGAAGAGUAGAACACAUUCGUACCUAUUAGGAGUUCAAAAUCCUACGAAAAAUGGUCAGAAAAUUCCUUGGAAAAUCCAGCCAAUUCUGCAACUUUCAAAACUUGCCUAUACCGACAUCUGCUUCACUCCAAAGCUACUCCAAAGUGUUAUGGAAGUUGUGCGGAUACCUUUCCAAGCCUUAAAACCUCGAAACCACGCCGGGAUUGCGUCAGAGCAACUUGGCUCCUUGUUGGAGCUCAUGAGUCGAUGGUCAAAACUCACCAAAACUGAAACCUAAGGGUAUGGCUAGGUUCGUAAGUUUGUAAGGAGUGUGAUGGUAGUCUUAGUAGGUUCGAUUCAUGCUGUUUUGGUGUGGUUUGUGCAUGUGGGGUGUCUCGGUGCAGAAGGAAGAAGAAAGGAGAAGAGUCGAGAACGAGAGAGAGAGUGUACGUGUACGUGUAUGUGUGUGUGUGUGUGAUUGGCUAGAAUAAAAAAAUAAUAUUUUCUGAUUGGGUUGCCGUGAAAGGGAUAGAGUUCCGAUUGGCCCAAAGAAAGAUAAAGGCCCAAAAUCUGAUUGGUUUAGAGGUAAUAGAAGAUAAUAUAAUUGGUUCGUGAUUUACCCAUUUACGUAUUCAAUUAAUCAUUACAAAUCCAAUUCGGCCCUAACUCGCGUUGACGUGCUCGUGACGUCGAGUACGAUUUAAUUACAACGGCAAGGAAAUAAUUUAAAACUACAUAUGCACAUCCAUGUCACUAAGCCAACAAGGGCAAUAUCAUCACUUUACACACCAGGGGAGAAAAUAUAUAUAAUAAUUUGGGAUGGGUCGUCACAAUUUGCCCCACUUGGGUGGGCUCAAAAAACAAGGAACAAAAACAUAAAGAGCAGAACCAUUCCUACUUAAAAUUAAUAUGGAGUCCACUAUAUGAGUCCCUAUAUGUAGUCCUCAUAUUUGAAAACUCUUUGAGGUAUCCAGCGAGUCCCUAUGUAUUGAGAUACUUUGAGGACUUUAAUUCCAACCCAUUGCAAGUCAUUUGUCCCUAUAUUUAGGGACUAUACGGUUGUAGGGACUCCAUUUAGGGUCUCCAUUGGAGAUGCUCUUAGUGAAUAGGAUAAUAAACACAAAUUAACAAAGAAAAAGGUUACAAAAGAUGAAAAGCUAACGACUCCAUCUUAAUUUCCACUAAUCACGAAUAAUGACAAAUAAACUUACUUUCCCACUAACAACUAAAUAAUGAAAAUUAUAAUUUAUUUAAUAUUAAAAAUGAACCAACAUUCCCCCACUCUUUUUUAAUAUUAGUUAUGAAGAAAAGAAUGAAAAUAAUAAUGGCCAAAGACGGACCAUUAUGCAUCAUGAAGGUGUGACUAUGCAUUGAACCUCCAUUUGUGAAGCAAUAAUUCCUACUCCAGAGUUAAUAGUGGUCUUAGACUUGAACUACAACUUGUUUAUACCAUAUUUAGGGCCUCGUAUUUAGAUCUCGUACAAAUACUCGGGGGACUUAAAUGUAAUUAUGUGAUAAAGGAAGGGGCAAAUAUGUAAUAAGUGAGGAGUCCUCAUUCUAUAAAAGGACCCCUUACCCUCACAAUUAGGGGAGACCAUUUUUGGAGCCUUCUCACCCCUCUCACAUCCCUUCUCAUAUUCAGAGGUUCUCUCUCUAACCUCUCAGAUAAAUACAAUAAUUAGUGUGGACAUAGCCCAAACCUUGGGGUGAACCACGAUACAUCUUGUGU